GAGCGAAAUGUCCACAUGCGGAAUUGAACAGCACACUUUCUAUGACUGAUUUGAUGGGAAACAAAUAAGACAGAAUUGCUCGUAGAAGACCACACCCUUAUUUACUGUUGAUACACUGUUGAGCAGCCAUCUUGGAUUUUUAGGACCGAGUUGUCGGGGUUGGUUGGACUUUCUGAGUUGGAAAUGUUACUUAAGGCAGUGUUAAGAAAACGGCAACAUCACAGUUCUAAAGAAAGCAGCAUUUGUCCCGUCUGUAAAUUGAGCACACCCUACAGUACUUAUUGACAGUGCAUUUCAUUACACAUGGUAAUUUAAUGUUAUUUGUAUUGUAUUGCGUCCUUAGUGAGUUGUCAUUUUCAAUCUGAAAAGAAGCAGAUAUGUUCAAUAGUUUAGGGAGCAAAAAAUAUUCUUCGUCAUAAUUUAAAAAAAUACACAAUAGCCAUAGUAAUGUUAUACUGUAGUUUGUAUUCCAUACAGCCACUCAAAGCAAGAAUACCAUUUCCAGUUGAACUUAAAAUAAAUAAAAAGGUAAAGGAAGUUAAAAAACAAAAGGUGGUACGAGAAAAUAAAAGUUUGGUGGCAAACCACAGGGGGAGCCAGAAGGUAGACUGACAGAUGACGGUAGAGAAUCAGAACGAUCAGACAUGUACAAUUAGCCCAUGUGAUUAGUUCAGACUAAAGCCUCGGGAUACAAUGGCCUAGUUGGCACGCACAUACACACACAAAGUACUACCACAGCUUUUAAUACUAGACAAGUAAUCUGGACUUAUGUAAUUGUGUGCUUAUCACCAUGGACAGGUUGUUGAGCUGUGUAAUUGUAUCUACAAGAUGACAACAGUAAACUGCAGUCAAUCAGGACAGUCAUGUUCAACAAUCACCCAAAUGAGUCUGUAUUGUCAGGCUAGAUUACACUAUGAAAGAAGUAAAAACCUCUUUCAAAUACAUCAAGCACGAAUAACAAAUUUGUCUGAGUAUUAUAUGUUAGCUGCUAAUUUGCAGCUGAACGUCUUUUAACAAAUAUUUAAUUAUUGCUUGAGAAAUUAGGCUUACAUGGCUUUGUACUCGCUUUGAUUGAUGCAUGCUGAUAUUUCACAAGGGGUCUGUCCCUCAAGAUAAUAACCGCUCUUUGGAUUCGGACUUGAGGAUUGUCUCAUCUGUGGCCUUUUCAAAAUGUCUAUCUGCAAAAAGAGGAAAAGCUGCAAUCACAUGUCAACACAAUGUGAUUCAGUUGUUGCUGAUUAUUUGAGGGGGGAUAAUGUUGCCCUGAUUACUGUCGGUCGGUGUUAAUUGAAUGCGGUGGAGAGUGACUUCACAGGAGGGAUAAACAUGUACUUCAAAAUCACACAAAAAGUACACGUUCCGCCAAAGAUGGGUGCAAUUACGGUCUUUUAACAGGAUUAACUAUACAUGGAUUUUAUUGUUAAUUUCUCGGAAAAAGUCUUCCCAUACAUACAAUGUUUUUUUAAACUGUAAACCUUCUUUUGAACACAUGUUUUUCAUAUUUUAACCUUUUUGGAAGUUUCUUGGAACUUUCCGCCAUAUCUAGCUACUGCUCUGAUCCUAUGUUUUAGUCCAAAAGAUCAGCAGUAAUUGAUACCAAUUCUAGUACAUUUGUACAAUACCUUAUGGUCUAUUUGACUCUAAAUGGACCAUCAUUUACUAUUUCAAUAAGGAGAGACUUCUUGAAUUUAACAAUGAUUUAUUUAGUAGGCAUAAAUAUAAAAUAGUGCAAAGUUGGGCUCCAUCCUGCCGAAGGAUAAAACAUGGCUGGGAUGCCGGGAUAGAAUAAGGUAUAUCCCCCCUUGGAGUCCAGACAAUGGUGGUGGAGGAAGAGAAAAGGUUGCUCCAACCUUUGAUACGACAGGUUUUGCUGCUGAUUGGAUUGUCAAGUUGUCCAAUGACACCUGAAAGCGCUGAAAUGACAACUGACAGCUACAGAGAUCAGAACAGUUUUCUCAUAUGACUUCUAUACAUCAGAAUUCUUUUUGCAAACAGAGGAGUCACCCCCUGCUGGGAGAAUGAGAAAGUUUUGAGAAACCUCCCCAUUGGCUCAGCAGAACUGGAGCAAUUUAAUGCUCUAUACUGAAUCUCAAUGCAAUUUUCCUUUAUGAAGUUGUUAUGUGGCCAAGCGGUAGCAAAAACAUUACUACCUCUUAAUUUCAACAGAUUUAGAUUUCUUGUUCACAUUCUCUCUCUGGGACCCCGUCGCCAACAGCACUGUCGUAAAAAACGGGAGUUUUCAGAAUUUAACUUGAUACCAAGGUGACUGUUUGAGCGACAUCCUUACGAUGGCCUCUACCAUAUGGUAAUUACUCUCACUGCCAGAGGGGAGAGACCAAAGUUCCACAGUCCAGCUUUUAAUGUCCCACUUUCUCUGCAUUGAUGUGCUCCCUUACAAAAAGGUUGAAUUUCUCUGUUCACUCAUUCUCAAUGUGUCUAUCCAGGCAGACUUCAUUACUGCUUUGAAACCCAUCAGAUUCUUUUCUGCUUUGAAUAUUCUCAGCAGAGGGAAGGCAGGUAGUGCCUUGCCAGAGUUUUGAGGUACUUUGGUUAGAUACAUUUUACUGAAUGGGAGAAUAAUACUAUAUUUACGAGUAUGCCAACCAACCUGACUGAUGGAUGAUGGAAUAUUGAUGGACAUAAGAGAGAUGUCGGGGUUGAGCUCAACCCCAAUAAACCCUAGAAAGAGCCUUUCUUCAUUCAGUGUUCCUCCAAGAGCAUAGAUUUUCUUAAAACAUUCUUCAAGAUGCAAUGCUCGCAGUCUGUUCUCAGUACACUGUGUUUCAAGUUAGCACAUCCAGGAUUCGCCGAGCACACAACGCAGUGACAGACACUGAGAUAUUUUAAAACAUGACAUAGAAUGUGUAAAUCGGUUUUCCUUGUAGCAAGUGGAAAUAUGAAAGUGUGUCUUAUCCCUGGUGGCGUGGUGCUGAUGUCAAAAUCUGGUCAAAAGUGGUCGUAUGUUUAAUGGGCCUAGGCCUCAGAUUAGGAGAGUAACCUUGCUCAUUAAAAAGGGGAGAAAAAAGGAAGCCUUUCUAAAGUACAGUUGCAUUGACCUUUGGCUGAUAGAUGCAGAAUGAGAUCGGCGUGCCAUGGCUGGAAACUCCAGAAGGACUCGGCGCUGCAGUUCUUUAACUGUGUUAUUAUCAGACUCAGUUUCCUUAGUCAGCUCCUUGUCUCACUGCAGUUUUAUUGCCGCUAAGAGACUGAACUGGGAGAUAAAGGACUCAUAACAAGUUGCUUCAUGUAGAGUGUCACCUCCAAUGUCCUCUUAGAGCAUAAUGGAACGACCCAUUAGGCCCGACCUAUUUACCCCGGCGUCUCUGUUAAGACUCUGUUUCGAAAUGUCAUCGUGGCCCAGUGCAGUUAAUGGCGUGAAGAGCAAAAUGGGGUCAAGGAAACUGAAGACGAUGUGUGUGUGUGUGUGUGUGUGAGUCGGGAGGGGGCGUCACUUUAAAUGGGGAAUACUUCGAUCAGAGCAGAUUUUUCUCAUAUAAAGCGGAGUGACGUCACUGGUCUUAUUGUACCCUUAAACACAAACUGUCUCAGCCACGUAGAUGAGUCCACUAAGCUGAGCCUCCAUCUCUCUUCAAGUCAAAAGGUAGGAGUUGCAAUCUCCGAAACUAUCCAACUGGCACCCAAAAACACUAGAUUUGUAGAUAUUGAAUAAAUGUAUCUGUAUUUUGGGAUAAAACCAACCUUCAACUGAAUGUUGAAUUUGUCAUGACUUCUUUUUCACAAAUAGCAUUUCUUGUUCCGCCACUUUCUGUGCAACACGGUUGCUCCUUUAUAGACUAUAUAUAAAUAUAUAGAUAUAAAUAUGAAUCCCAUUGCUCUUAGCAAAAGCACCGGUUUCCAAAUUCAAUCCUUCUGUUCUUACCUUUCAAAAAUAAAAGCUCUAGCCAUAUAAUAGUCGCAUGCGAACAUUCUGCUUCUUUUUUCUUUUUGGCAUUCAUUCGUCACGGCCACUGGUGAGUGAAGGCUUCAAGUUGAAUCCAUAACUUAGACCCACAUUGUGUAUGUGCGCUGGAAGGAAACAGACAGACCGAGCUGGGUCCCUCCUGUGUGACUGUGAUGUCUGAUUUUCUUGUUGCUUAUUUUCUCCAGUCGGAGGGAACGAGAUGGAUUUCUUUUGCGUGACUCUUUUUCUUGGCUCUAACUGCUGAUUUUGCACAUGCUGUGCUCCUUAGUGUGAUCUUUUCAUGUUUGUGUGUGUGUCUUUUUAUUCAAAUAUAGCGACAUAUUCAUCUCUUUCCUCUUUGAAUGGCAUACAAGGUUGUUGCCCAUCUGUAUUUCUUUUUGUGUAUUCAGGUCUUUAUUGUAGAAGAAGGAAAAGCAUCUGUUCUUUUCAGAGAUUUCCUGUAAAGACACCAGAGUUUUAUUGAACCGUUUUAUCCAAGACUGAACUAAUUGUUUUAUCUUGAUAAGAGCUCAUUCAAUGGACAGCCUUUUCACUGUAUUUGGCCGUCUUCUGUAUUUAUUGCUCUCCUCAUUGCUUCUUGUCACUGCAGAUAUAUUUUCUGGCACUUCAUUUUCCUUUGAAUUUUGUUGAAAGGUUUGUGGUCAACUGUAAGUGACCUAAAGGCUUAGAAAACAUCAGCGUGUGUAUAACGCCGGCUACAUCUCCCUGACACUUUUUUCGUGUUCCCACAUGAAAGUAAAGCUAUAUAAUCAAAUAUCAGCUGUCUCAUGCAGCUUUGUAAAACGGCUUCUUGUUCUUGAUGAAUUGCCUUUAACUAUUCGAAGUAAAAGUCUGGAGCUGAAGAAAUGUUAGUUGAACCAAAGCCUUUAAUCACAGAACCUCCGAAAAAUCUGUCACUUUGUUGCUUUUCAUUUUGAAAGAAAUCAAUGACCGGAUUUACCUGCUAAUCAGUUCUUAAAGAUCUAUAUGACAUGAACAGAUGUACAGACAUGAACGGAUUUACGAGAUAAUAUUUAGAAAAGCAAGUUAAGUAAAGGUUAUUUUUGCUGGUGAGACUCCAACAAGGGAAAGCUAAAGGACCUGAUGGCAUCAGCCCCAAGGUACGGAAGACCUGCACCAUCCAGCUGUCUAAUGUCCGCAACAUCUCUUCAACCUGAGCAAGAAGCAGGAGGAAGUCCCGGUGUUGUGGAGGACGUC
ensembl:lncRNA